rnacentral:lncRNA from 1 species
ACUAACUAAAACUUCUAUUGAUAUCAGUAGAAUAUUGUUAACACACUCAUUAACAAAUAGAGACUUAUAUACAUUACAAAAUACGCUAUCAAAUAACAAGAGUAAUGCAGAACUUAGACGUAUAUGUUUACGAUGGAAAACAAACAAAAUGAAACGAAGGAGACCUAUAAAAAAGAUGGAUAAACGUAGUGUUAGUGGUACAAGUAGUGCUAGGGAUAGUGAUAGUGCUAGUGAUGGCGAUUGUAAUAGUGAUGGUGAUGGUGAUAGUGAUAGUGAUAGUGGUGAUACUAACGACAAUAGUAUAAGUAACGAUAAUAGUAUAAGUAACGAUAAUAGUAUAAGUAACGAUAAUAGUAUAAGUAGUGAUGAUAAUAUAAGUAGUGAUGAUAAUGUAAAUAGUGAUAAAAGUAGCAUUAGUGGUAGUAGUGCUAAAAGUAGUGUUAAUAGUAGUAGCAGCAGUAGUAGAAGAAAUAGUAGAAGAAGUAGUAGAAGAAGAAGAAGUAAUAAUAGUAGUAGUAGAAGUAGUAGUAUAAGUGGUAGUAUAAGUAGUAGUAGAAGUAGAAGUAGUAGUAGAAGUAGUAGUAUAAAUAGUAGUAUGAGUAGUAGAAGUAGUAGUAGCAGAAGUAGUAGUAUGAACAGUAGUGGCAGUAGUGGUAGUAGUGACAUGAGUGGUAGUAGUGACAUGAGUGGUAGUAGUGACAUGAAUGGUAGUAGUGACAUGAGUGUUAGUAGUGACAUGAGUGGUAGUAGUGAUAUGAGUGGUAGAAGUGACAUGAGUGGUAGAAGUGACAUGAGUGUUAAAACUGGUACGAGUGGUAGCAGUAAUACUGAUAAAAGCGGUAUCAGUGAAGGAGAUUAUAAAGAAGUAAGUGAUGACUAUAACAUAGAAGAUAUAGAAAUGUCCAAAAAAAAAAAAAAAAAUAAAAAUAAAAAAGAUUUAUGUAGUAAAAAAAGAAAAAACACGGGUAAAGGUAAAGGCGAAAGCAAAAACAAGAAAGGAAAAAAGGGUAUAAAGAAUAAAAAAAAUAUAAAAUAUAAAAAAACAGUAAAAGGUAAAA